AACGAACGCUGGCGGCAUGCCUAACACAUGCAAGUCGAACGAGACCUUCGGGUCUAGUGGCGCACGGGUGCGUAACGCGUGGGAACCUGCCUUUAGGUUCGGAAUAACUCAGAGAAAUUUGAGCUAAUACCGGAUGAUGUCUUCGGACCAAAGAUUUAUCGCCUUUAGAUGGGCCCGCGUUGGAUUAGCUAGUUGGUGGGGUAAAGGCCUACCAAGGCGACGAUCCAUAGCUGGUCUGCGAGGAUGAUCAGCCACACUGGGACUGAGACACGGCCCAGACUCCUACGGGAGGCAGCAGUGGGGAAUAUUGGACAAUGGGCGAAAGCCUGAUCCAGCAAUGCCGCGUGAGUGAUGAAGGCCUUAGGGUUGUAAAGCUCUUUUACCCGAGAUGAUAAUGACAGUAUCGGGAGAAUAAGCUCCGGCUAACUCCGUG
rnacentral:rRNA from 1 species